rnacentral:rRNA from 1 species
CAGACUCCUACGGGAGGCAGCAGUGAGGAAUAUUGGUCAAUGGCCGUAAGGCUGAACCAGCCAAGUCGCGUGAAGGAAGAAGGAUCUCUGGUUUGUAAACUUCUUUUAUAGGGGAAUAAAGGUAUCCACGUGUGGAUAUUUGCAUGUACCCUAUGAAUAAGCACCGGCUAACUCCGUGCCAGCAGCCGCGGUAAUACGGGGGGUGCAAGCGUUGUCCGGAAUCAUUGGGCGUAAAGAGUUCGUAGGCGGCACGUAAAGUCUGGUGUUAAAGGCAGAGGCUCAACUUCUGUACGGCACUGGAUACUUGCGAGCUAGAAUGCGGUAGAGGUAAAGGGAAUUCCUGGUGUAGCGGUGAAAUGCUUAGAUAUCAGGAGGAACAUCGGUGGCGUAAGCGCUUUACUGGGCCGUAAUUGACGCUGAGGAACGAAAGCCAGGGUAGCAAAUGGGAUUAGAUACCCCCGUAC